GACGAACGCUGGCGGCGUGCUUAACACAUGCAAGUCGAACGGAAAGGCCCCAGCUUGCUGGGGUACUCGAGUGGCGAACGGGUGAGUAACACGUGGGUGAUCUGCCCUGCACUCUGGGAUAAGCCUGGGAAACUGGGUCUAAUACCGGAUAGGACCGUGCUUUAGUGUGUGCGGUGGAAAGUUUUUCGGUGCAGGAUGAGCCCGCGGCCUAUCAGCUUGUUGGUGGGGUAAUGGCCUACCAAGGCGGCGACGGGUAGCCGGCCUGAGAGGGUGUACGGCCACAUUGGGACUGAGACACGGCCCAGACUCCUACGGAAGGCAGCAGUGGGGAAUAUUGCACAAUGGGCGCAAGCCUGAUGCAGCGACGCCGCGUGGGGGAUGACGGCCUUCGGGUUGUAAACCCCUUUCGGCAGGGACGAAGCUUUUGUGACGGUACCUGCAGAAGAAGCACCGGCUAACUACGUG
rnacentral:rRNA from 1 species